rnacentral:rRNA from 1 species
AUACGUAGGGUGCAAGCGUUAAUCGGAAUUACUGGGCGUAAAGCGUGCGCAGGCGGUUUUGUAAGACAGUGGUGAAAUCCCCGGGCUCAACCUGGGAACUGCCAUUGUUACUGCAAGGCUGGAGUGCGGCAGAGGGGGAUGGAAUUCCGCGUGUAGCAGUGAAAUGCGUAGAUAUGCGGAGGAACACCGAUGGCGAAGGCAAUCCCCUGGGCCUGCACUGACGCUCAUGCACGAAAGCGUGGGGAGCAAACAGGAUUAGAUACCCUGGUAGUCCACGCCCUAAACGAUGUCAACUGGUUGUUGGGGAUUUAUUUUCUCAGUAACGAAGCUAACGCGUGAAGUUGACCGCCUGGGGAGUACGGCCGCAAGGUUAAAACUCAAAGGAAUUGACGGGG